rnacentral:rRNA from 1 species
UAUUGCACAAUGGGGGAAACCCUGAUGCAGCAACGCCGCGUGUGUGAGGAAGUAUUUCGGUAUGCAAAGCACUAUCAGCAGGGAAUAGAAAAGAAGGUACCUGAAAAAGAAGCCCCGGCUAACUACGUGCCAGCAGCCGCGGUAAUACGUAGGGGGCAAGCGUUAUCCGGAUUUACUGGGUGUAAAGGGAGCGUAGACGGAAAGGCAAGUCAGAAGUGAAAGCCCAAGGCUCGACCAUGGGACUGCUUUUGAAACUGUCAAACUAGAGUACGGGAGAGGUAAGAGGAAUUCCUAGUGUAGCGGUGAAAUGCGUAGAUAUUAGGAGGAACACCAGUGGCGAAGGCGUCUUACUGGACCGAAACUGACGUUGAGGCUCGAAGGCGUGGGGAGCAAACAGGA